rnacentral:rRNA from 1 species
CCUACGGGCGGCAGCAGUGGGGAAUAUUGGACAAUGGGGGCAACCCUGAUCCAGCCAUGCCGCGUGUGUGAAGAAGGCCCUCGGGUUGGAAAGCACUUUCAGUGAGGAAGAACGCCUGGUGGUUAAUACCCAUCAGGAAAGACAUCACUCACAGAAGAAGCACCGGCUAACUCCGGGCCAGCAGCCGCGGUAAUACGGAGGGUGCGAGCGUUAAUCGGAAUUACUGGGCGUAAAGCGCGCGUAGGUGGCUUGAUAAGCCGGUUGUGAAAGCCCCGGGCUCAACCUGGGAACGGCAUCCGGAACUGUCAAGCUAGAGUGCAGGAGAGGAAGGUAGAAUUCCCGGUGUAGCGGUGAAAUGCGUAGAGAUCGGGAGGAAUACCAGUGGCGAAGGCGGCCUUCUGGACUGACACUGACACUGAGGUGCGAAAGCGUGGGUAGCAAACAGGAUUAGAUACCCCUGUAGUC